rnacentral:tRNA from 1 species
GGGAGAGCUCAGUGGUAGAGCACGUGCUUAGCAUGCACGAGGUCCUGAGUUCCAUUCCCAAUACUUCCA